CUACGAGGACGAACGCUGGCGGCAUGCCUAACACAUGCAAGUCGAACGGAGAUAAGCGCUGAUGAAGCUUCGGCAGAUUCUUGCUUAUCUUAGUGCGGACGGGCGAGUAACGCGUGAGCAACCUGCCUUUCAGGAGGGGGACAACAGUUGGAAACGACUGCUAAUACCGCAUAACACAUCGGAGGGGGCAUCCCCAUGAUGUCAAAGAUUUAUCGCUGAAAGAUGGGCUCGCGUCUGAUUAGAUAGUUGGUGGGGUAACGGCUCACCAAGUCGACGAUCAGUAGCCGGACUGAGAGGUUGAACGGCCACAUUGGGACUGAGAUACGGCCCAGACUCCUACGGGAGGCAGCAGGUGGGGAAUAUUGGGCAAUGGGGGAAACCCUGACCCAGCAACGCCGCGUGAAGGAAGAAGGCCUUCGGGUUGUAAACUUCUUUUAGCAGGGACGAAGAACGUGACGGUACCUGCAGAAAAAGCAACGGCUAACUACGUG
rnacentral:rRNA from 1 species